rnacentral:rRNA from 1 species
GUAGGUGGCAAGCGUUGUCCGGAAUUAUUGGGCGUAAAGCGCGCGCAGGCGGUCCUUUAAGUCUGAUGUGAAAGCCCACGGCUCGACCGUGGAGGGUCAUUGGAAACUGGGGGACUUGAGUACAGAAGAGGAAAGCGGAAUUCCAAGUGUAGCGGUGAAAUGCGUAGAGAUUUGGAGGAACACCAGUGGCGAAGGCGGCUUUCUGGUCUGUAACUGACGCUGAGGCGCGAAAGCGUGGGGAGCAAACAGGAUUAGAUACCCUGGUAGUCCACGCCGUAAACGAUGAGUGCUAAGUGUUAGGGGGUUUCCCGCCCCCCUUAGUGCUGCAGCUAACGCAUUAAGCACUCCGCCUGGGGAGUACGGCCGCAAGGCUG